UACGUAGGGUGCGAGCGUUAAUCGGAAUUACUGGGCGUAAAGCGUGCGCAGGCGGUUCGUUGUGUCGGCGGUGAAAGCCCCGGGCUUAACCUGGGAAUGGCCGUUGAAACUGGCGAACUGGAGUGUGGCAGAGGGGGGUGGAAUUCCGCGUGUAGCAGUGAAAUGCGUAGAGAUGCGGAGGAACACCGAUGGCGAAGGCAGUCCCCUGGACCUGUACUGACGCUCAUGCACGAAAGCGUGGGGAGCAACAGG
rnacentral:rRNA from 1 species